AUCACUGUACGCUCUUACGCCGUACAAAUUCUUCUAAAUGUAAUUCCCUGGUUCUGGCUAUAUAAAAGACAUACAGUAUAAUCUGGAUAUUAGUUUUAGAUGGACAAGAUCAAGAACUUGAAGACUAAGAAUAACUGCUAUAUCAAAAAGAGAAAACUAUAUUCAAACUUGACUAAAAAAAUAAAGAGAGAAACUGGUAAAAUAAUUGGAUCUUGCCUCUGAAACUCCAUCUAGAGCAGGGUGAUGAAACCUGGUAUUUGAUUACAUGCAUUCACUAGCCUAAGAUCUAGUAUAACAUAAUUAUAAAAAAAAUUACUGUCACUUGUUAAUGUUUCUCCUAAACUCCUAAUGGUACUAGGAGAUCCAAAGCACAACAUGAGUUAGAUAAAAGGAAACACUUCACACGUUUUGAAAGGUUAGAGCUUGAGACUUUCCUUGUUUUUCAUAUCCUUUUGAGGCCCACCCUUCACUGUCAAAGUUCUUGGAUAGUUCUUCUCUUUGUUUUCACUGACUUGGGCUAGAAUCUUGUCAGGUUUAUCUGGUUACUUUUUGAGUUGGUGAUGCUGAUUUUUCAUUUUCUUGGGAAAAAUAAUUGAACUCUUUCUUGUUUCCAAAAAUCCUUCAUGUCCUGCAAAUUUAAAGGACCAAAAAAUACUGUUAGACUCAAACUUGCAACAAAACAAAGAAUAACAUAAAGCAAAAUACAAGUAAAUUUAAUAUAGACAAACCUUUGACUUAGCAGUAUAACAAAUCUUGGCCAUCUUAACUUCUCUGUUUUUCUCUUCUUUUUCCUUCAGUUAUUUUCCCUUCAAUGUCCUUUUUACUACCUGCUUCUCUAGAAAGACGUGCAUAUCAUAGUAAACCAGAUUUAGCUCACAGUCCAAGAGAGACACAUGUAAUUCAAAUUUUAUUCUUCACGAAUCUAUAAUGCAACUCCUGACCCCCUAAACUCAAUUACUCGACCCAGAACAUAAUAAUGGAAGCAAAACACACACAAAUCAUCCAAAGAAAAUUUUCCAAUUUAGAAAAAAACAGUUAACCAACACUCCCAGAACAGAGAAAACUAAUUAAAUGAUUAAAUUGUUGUACCCAAACUAUAAAUAUUUUUACAACUAAUCCCCCUUCUUUUAAAAAAUAUUCACCACUAGUAAUCCCCUAUACAUUUUUUCCCAGCCUAUGAUAUUGAAACCCUUUUACCACCAUUUCAACAUCUAUUUUCUUAUUCACGAAAAGUGGUAGAACAGGCACCCUAAAUACUAUGGGUGUCAACAACAUGCCCAGAGUGCCAACAAAAACCCUAACUAACUAAAUAACUACAAGCUGUUGUAUUGUAUCAACAAGUCUGUAUGCAUCAAAACAUCUUCUUCAAGAGGAUUGCCCACCAAGCGGGAAAAGUGAGAGUGAGGGGAUUCAAAUCCACACCUCGAAAAGGUGAAAGUUUGUUUGAGAUCCUCAUUCUGUAAUCACUUGCACGAACUCACUGUUGUCACCAACAAAUUGAUCGAUUAAACUAAGUUAUCGUCACUAGAAUUUUCACAACUAAAGAAAGAAACGCAAGUAAAGUGAAGGCUAAACAGAAAAAGGCUAAACUAAAUACCUGUUCGUGGCAAAGACAGAGACUUUGUGGUGGAGGAGAAGCACCCACAAGAGAGUCUUUGCAGUGGAACAAAAGCACCCAAAAGGGGUCCAUUAAACGGCACUCAUCUUGUUGCUCAGAUUUUUUCUUGCCACUUGUCAAUAUCAACAUCGGUGGCAACCAUGGUUUUACAUAGCAAGGUUAAAGCUUCUAAGACUGCAUGUGAUGGCAUCAGCCACAUUUUUCACAAUGUCAACGAUCAAGGAUAGCAAUAAACCACAACCUAUGGCAGUAACCCUUUGAUCAAUCUGAAUCUAUGUUUGUGCCUUCUAAAUUUGGAUUAUGUUCCUCCAUAGUGAUAUAAAAUGAAAGGCAGUUUCUUCCUGCACCCCCUGCAUUUUUCUUCUUGCAUCCCCCACAAUUUUAUAAAUUCUGAAACUAACUUUCACCUUUUAUUUCAAAUCGGGAUUUGAGAGUGUGUUACGGAUUCAUCAAUCCGAAAGUAAAUCAUGUUGUUUUCUAGAUGAGGGGUGUUCUGGAAGUAAAGUUUGCAUAAAUUGUUAAAUUCUGGAUUGCUGAAUCUGGAAGCCUAAUUUCUAUUACGGAUUGAUGGAUCUGGAAUGAUUUUUUUCACUUAUGAAUUUCUGAAACCGGAAUGCAUAUUUGGAAUUACGGAUCGGCAUACCCAGAAUGAUUUUUUUAAUUAUGAAUGUUCUUCAUUUUUAUUUUUUUUUGGAUUAACACUGUCAUUCAUGUAUUACUAGAAGCACCAAUCUAGGAGGUUACCGGAAGUGUCAAUCCAAAAAUUUACUGGAUUUAAUAAUCCGGAAUAAAAAAAAUAAAUGUAAUUUUUUAUAUAGGAACGAUUUUGUCUUUACACCGUGUACUGGAUUUGGUAAUCUAGAAUUAAAAAUAAAUAAAUGUAAUUUUUUAUAUAGAAACGAUUUUAUCUUUGAACAACAUUGUGGGGGAAGAAAGAAACUGCCAAAAUGAAAUUACAACAAAAAAGAGAAUUUUUUUUAUAGAGUUUUUAAGAAGAUAAAGAAGGAAAAAUGUAUUACAAUAAUAGAAGAUCAGAAUGAAAGUGAAGGAAUAUUUUGAGAUGUAUAUGAAGAGCACAGCAUUUGAUAAAAGGGAAAAUGAAACAAUUGAGUAACAUUAAUCUCAUUGACUAUUAAUAGGGCGUAGGAUUAGGAAAUAGUAAUAUGCAUGUUUAAAUCAUAUUUUAAUUUUAAGGGUUUAAGACUUAAUUUUGUUUUAAUUUAUAAAUUUAUCAUGGAUUGUUUUUAUUAAGUCCUUGACUUGAUAUACUUGGAUAUCCUUUUUACUUACACAUGUCACUUAUUUUUAUUUUUAUUUAAAAUAUAUAUUUUAUUGUCUACACCACCUUCCAAUUUAUAUAAUUAUUCAAUAUAUUUGUAAAAUCACUCUAUCAGUUUACAUUCUCACUCUUUUUCUCCUUUAUCUUUUUCUCUUAAAGUUUCGUCUUUUUUCAAUGAGUCUUAAACAUUGCAAGAGAUAACUCAAUUCUAAUAAUUAGAACGUUACAAUUGAAAUUUUCAUAAAUAAUAUUCAUGUAUAUGUAAUGACAUAAUAUUGAUUUAUAGAAAAUCACUAGCCAUUAAAUUUAGGAGAUUAUAUAUUGAUGUAAUUUGAAUGCAUAGUUAUACAUAAAUUAAUUGGAAGAGAAAAAAGUUACACACGCCUAAUAAAUCAUAUUUACGCACAUUUAUUAAAAAAAAAUAACUCAUUAAUUAUCUAUAAUUGGAUUCCCUAAUAUCUUCAAGUUAAAAUUAUGGAAGCUUGACAUGUGUCGGGUGAUAUUUUUAUAUGUAGCCAUUAUUAUUAUUAGAAUCUUACAAUUUAUGAUCGGAUCAUUUUGAUUUCAAUAUGAAUUUGGUAGGCAACCAUUCAUAUCAUAUGAUGGAUCAUAAAUAACUUCAAAUGUUACUAUAGAUGAACUAGAACAAUUUCAUAUCAAUUAUAGAAAUUACAUAAUUAUUUUAUUUUAUUUUUUACUUUUUUUCCACCAUUUUUUAUUAAAAUAGCCAAAAUGAUAGAUAAGUUCAAUAUAAAUUAUUCAAUGAAAGGAGAUAUAAGGUUGAUUUGGUGGAAAAAAGUUGAAGGGACGGAGAAACAAAUCCUGAGUUCAAAUCCCUAUUAAAAAAAUUAACAAGAAUUUCACAAUAUUAAGAAAAUUAAAACAAGAAUUUUACAAUGUUAAUUUUUUUUUUUAUUAUGUUAUAGUAUAUAAGUGAGUGAAUUUGUUUAGUAUUUAAUAGUCUGUGAUAAAAGAUACAUUGAACAAUGUUUCAUGAUUAAAUUUAUUAUAAAAUAAUGUGAUAUCCACUUUUUAUUUAAUUACUCAUUUUGAUAUUGUAAUUUGUAACAAGAUAUGAUUUUAAUACUUAUAUAUAUCAUAUAUAUAUGUUAACUAUUUUUAUUAUCUUUCACAAGAUAUGAUUUAUAUUUAAAAAUUAGUUAACAAUUCAUCAUUUGAAUUGAAAUUUCAUUGCUUUGGCUAUAAAUUUAAAAGUAUACAAUUUUGUUAUAUUGAAUUUUUUUUAUUUGUCGUCAAAAUUAAAUAUGUAUUUAUUUACUUCUUUAUUGAAGUCUAAUGUGCAUUUAUUUACCUCUUUAUCAAAAAUAUGUAUUUUUUGAUGGUUUGGGUGCUCAAUAAAGGUAUGAAUUGUGUGCAUCGUGACCCCAAAUAUUUGCUGCAUAUUUUCAAAGAUUCUCUGCACAAAUUCAGAGCAUACAAUCUUCAUGCAUAUCCACUCAUAACUGCCGUAUCAACCCAUUCAUUUUACUAUAAAUUUGUGUGAAUAUCUGCUACCCACAUUGGCUACCUAUUCUCUGUUCUCACCAUUUGAAACAAGAGAAAAUUUUUUGGUUCAACCAUGGCUUCUUCUUCCAAGAAAUAGAAAAAUAAGGGCAAGCAAACCACCUUUCAAGGUGUGCUAGAAGGUUAGUUCGCUGGAAAUGAAGAAGCAAUCAAUGCCUACAUUCACGAGACAAACAGAAAGCAGAUUAAUAUACCCAAGGUGCUAGAUUUCAACUGGCUGAAAUCUGAAAAAUUGGAAGAAACAAGGGCUGUGUUGAAGCACCAGAAACUGAAAAAGCUGUUGUAAUUAACGGGUAAUGUAUAUCCUGACUUGGUUAAGGUGUUUUACACUAACCUCACAUUGGAUGGAAAGAAUGUUGUCUCUUAUGUGAAAGGGACCAAGAUGAAGAUCACAAGUGAGGUGUGGAAUUCUGUGGCUGGAAUAAAGUAUGUUGGACUGAAAGUAGGAAAGGGAAACACCAGUGGAAUUCAAGAAUUCAACAAGCUGCAAUACUAUAAAAGCUGCAUGAGGAAUUCUACAGAGAGUAUAAGCAGGUUCCAUGCAUUUGAACCUCACUCCACGCCUUGUUGCCUACAUCAUAGCAUGGCAACUUAUCCCAAGAGGUACAAACCAUGCAGUUUUACAUGAAGAGGAUCUAAUUCUUCUAUAUUGCAUCAUGAACCAGAUUAAGGUAAAUUGGGUUUUCAUUAUCAAUGUACACAUGCUCAAAUAAAAAAGGUUGGCUGAUUACCGCUUUCCCUAUGCUAUUCUUGUUUCCAAAUUGAUUGAUUACUUUGGUGUUGAUGUUACAAAUGAGAGAAACGAUCCAAUCAAAGUUGUAAGUGAGAUUGAUAAUUCAACUCUCACCAAAAUGGGAUUUCACAAAAUUGAGGACAAGUGGGUGGUUCUUAAAGGAAAGGACCCUCAAACAGAACAUGAAGCAUCAAACCUCCACAAUGAGGAUGAGGAUGAAGUUGUUCCCAUGGAGGAUGACUCACCUGCUACCCAAUCUGUGCAUGAGGAAGUUGCUGCAAAUGCCAUAGUUGCCUAUCAAUCUCCAGAAUACUGAGGAGAACCAAUGUCUAUGUUUGAAAGGCAAGUGUUGUAUCGCCUUGAUGUAAUGACUACAGAACAAAGGGCAUACUUUGAAACUACUCAAGCAAGGUUUCAACACCUUGAUGAUCAGAUUGAAGGGGUUCAGGCACAACUUGCAGAGCUUUACUACAAGGAUCAGUAGUCUUCUGUUUUUCAUGCUUUCUUUAUUAGUUUAAAAGUCUGUAAUGAUGAACAAUUUGUCUCUAUCUUUUGGACUAUUAUGGUUAUGCUUCUGGUUUUUUUUCUAUGAUUACAUGCUGUUUGAUGAAUCCAAAGGGGAAGAAAAAUAGCUCACCAUGCUAGGUGAAGCUAGCUAAAACAGGGAGUUAAAUUCUACACCUUUAAACCAUUUUACAUGUUAUGCAAUGUUCUGUUUUUCUGGUUUAAUUUGUGGUGCAAUGCAGGUUUUUAAAGCAACAAGAGCUAUGGGGAUUUGUCUCCAUCAAACAGGGGGAGAUUGUUGAAGAUGGUUGCUGCCUCUUCAAGAUUGUGUUUGAUGAAGACUUUUAUGUACAUUUCAUGUGUAUUUUUGCUUUGCUUUAAGUGUGUCUUAGGUAGUGCUUAGAGGUUGUUUAAGAGUGGGUUUUUUGCUGAGUAACUCACCUCCUAACCACUGGCCAUGUGAUAAGAACAAGCAUAAGUUUUCUUAAACUGUUUUUCACAUGUUUUACAAAAAACACGUUUACUGCAUAAAAAUAAAUCUGUUCUUUUCUAAAUAAACAUAUUCUUUUUUAACUGAUGUCUUGGCUAAGUCUUGUGAAAAUUAGAUUUUGUGCAUCAUGUAUUUUGACUAAGUCUUCUACCUUUCAAAACGACUGUGUUUAAAUAGUUAAGCUUUUCUGUUUUCGUUUUGAAAAAUAAAUCUGUUCAUCUGUAAAUGAAUAGAUUCAUUUUGUCUCUGGUGUCAUAUCUAACUUAAACGUUUUUCAGUUUUAUCUCUGCACCAUAAUGGUUGACUAAGUCUUCUCACUUAACAAAUUCUCUAACUGCUUUUGAAAAUAAAUUUGUUCAUUUUAUUUUCAAUCUGUUCAUUUUAUAACAGCUUUAACUGUUUUUCAAAAUUCUGUUAUAAGUUGGUUUUCUAUAAAAUGAGAACUUGUUUCUGAGUUUAAACGUUGUUCAUACAUUUGUAAAAACAAGUUUUACAGCAGAGAAUUAAGAGUUUACAAAGAAUUAGCAUUUGUUCUUCAAAGAUUUCGAAAAUCACAAAGUGCUUGUUCUUGGUUUGGUUCCAAAAGCUUGGUGUGAGGUGUUGUUACUGUUCUAGCAAUCUUGCCUACUGGUUUAAGGCAGAUCUUUGUAUCAUCAAUCAGGUGUAGUCGUUUCACUUUUCACUUCUUGUAAUAGUUUGGUUGAACACUCUUCUUGAUAGGUUUUCUUGAAGAGUGUGUGUGAGCUAAAAUAGGUUUUUUCAGCAAGAGUACCUAAGUUCUUGUAGGUUUCAAGAACAGUGGGAAUUGUGUUUGUUUGUAUUGUGAUUUAGUGAUUUUCACCUUGGUUUAGGUGAAGACUGGAUGUAGCUCAGUUGAGUGAACCAGUAUAACUGCCUUGUGUUCAUUCUCCCUCAAUCUCUGCAAUUAAGUUUCUGCAUAAUUGAUAAAACAACAAAGAAAUAAAUCGGUUCAAUUAAAAAUAAAUCUGUUCUGUCUGGGCAUGGUUCAUAUUGUUCUUAAUUUUUGGAAAACUGGUUGAUUUCAAUAAGAACACUUAUAAUCUGUUAAAAGCCAUUAGAACAGGUUGAUUGUAAUAGAUCACUCAAUAAACUGUCAAGCCAUUAAUUGAACCUUAAUCACUUGCUUGAAAUUGAAGGUUGUUGUUUUGGUGAUUCACUGUUUUUCGUUCUAAUAUCAGUGUGUGAGCAUCUGGAAAAUAUAUCUGCAGAUCUUGUGAUUAACCUUGCUGCAUAAAAUCUUUUCAAACACACAAACAGUGCUAAAAUAAAUUUGUUCAUUCCCAUAUAAAUCGAUUUAUUUUCUGUAAACUGUGUUAAAUACUGUUUUUGCGAGAAGCUUUUAAAAGGUCAAUUCAACUCCCCUCUUGAACUUUGACACUAUUAAACCCAACACAUAUGACCAUUAGAAAGUAAAAGAGGUUGUCCCAAUAUAUACGAGAAGAAUUCAUUUUGAUUUAGUUAUACAUAUCUCAAGGUUCUAUGGAUUCUAUUUCUUUGGAAUUUGGUGUUGCUUAUAUUAGAAUAAGCUUGGAUUAGAUAACAUGAGUGUUAUUAGAGAUAUGAUUGCGUAGAGGUUGGUGUGAGAUGUCUAUGUUCAUGUCAGAAUACAACAAAGUUGUGGAUCAUUGAGUUAGGUCACGUCAAAAUCUCUUAAGCAAUUUGACAAGAACCUUUCAACAGAAAUACUCGAAGAUCGUGGGGUUGACAUAAAUCGUCUAUUUGAGAUGGAGGGAAAAUACAUCAAAGCAUUCAUUGAUAGGCACAAGGAGGAAGUUAGAUAAGCAAAAAAAAAACUCAUCGUAUUUUUUUAUAACUUCAGUUAUCAACAACUAUGAGUCAAAUCUUGAGAACUAUGAUGAUUGAAGACAUCUUCGAUCAGACAGACAUUUGAUGCAGAUAAAUGAAGAAUAUCGUUAAUUUUGUCUAUGGGUAAUCAUGAUUUUCUGAAAGUUAUGUCAUUCCUUGGUGUAAGUUAAGCAAUCAUAAAGAUGACUCCAAAGUUCAUAGAUUCUUACUAGAUUCUCAAGAGAAUAUGUUCAACUGCUCAUAAAAUUGUUUAUCUCUUUCGUUAACCAACAUUCUAUUAUGUCUUUCGUGUAUCGUAACUAAGGAAAUAUAUAUAAUUGGUCACAAUCAUAUUCUAAUGUCUAAUUUAGUUUAAUAAAAAGUAUCUUUUAAAGUGAAGUCAAUUAAAAUUUUGGAUUCUCAAGUAAGGUAACUUCGUGGUAGAAAUAUCGACAAAGUCAAAGUACUGCGAAAUCUCAUAUGAUGUGAUUCCACAUGAAAAAUAAAAGAAUAAUAUCCUAAUAUUUCUUGGUAAGCUAAUUUUCGAGGACGAAAUUUUUUUUAUUAGGGAUAAUUGUAAGACCCAAAAGCGAAAGACCCCCUCCCCCCUUCAUUUUCUCAUCCCACACUUUCUCUCUCCCUCUCCCUUCUCUCUUCAAUUUCUCUCCCAUAUCUCAUCCAUUCCAAAAUCUGAUCACGACAUGUGGUAGCUGAGGAGUCAUGGUACAUUUCUACCCGAUCAGAUUUUCAAACAGAGUAAGUUCAUUUUUUACUCUAAAGAUCGUGGUAGAAAUAUCGACAAAGUCAAAGUACUGCGAAAUCUCAUAUGAUGUGAUUCCACAUGAAAAAUAAAAGAAUAAUAUCCUAAUAUUUCUUGGUAAGCUAAUUUUCGAGGACGAAAAUUUUUUUAUUAGGGAUAAUUGUAAGACCCAAAAGCGAAAGACCCCCUCCCCCCUUCAUUUUCUCAUCCCACACUUUCUCUCUCCCUCUCCCUUCUCUCUUCAAUUUCUCUCCCAUAUCUCAUCCAUUCCAAAAUCUGAUCACGACAUGUGGUAGCUGAGGAGUCAUGGUACAUUUCUACCCGAUCAGAUUUUCAAACAGAGUAAGUUCAUUUUUUACUCUAAAGAUCCCUCAUUCUCUGUUUUUCUAUAUGAUUUAGUCAUCAAUCUUAGUGAGACCAGUUGAGAAAAGUGUUUCUCUCAACUUGAUUAAGCUCAUACUAAAAUUUGGUAAUGUUUGAAUAACUUGCUUUAGGUUCCUAAAUUUUGAAGUGAUUCCCUUGUUUGAGGUAGAAUUUCCAUAAGUGAAAUUUAAGGUAAAGAAAACUAACUUUAACUUUCAAUAAUAUCCUAGACUAGAAGAUUUGAAUGUGGAUGAAACGUGAUCCCAAAUUUCAAUUUCUCUUGUAGGAAUGUUAGUUGAUAAAAUUGUUUGAUUUUAUGUUGUGUGAACAUGUAUAAAUAUUAUAUUUUGAUAGUUAAACUCCGAGAAGAACAUUAAAUUCAUCUGCAUAACUGCUGGAAACCCUCCCUUGCUCUCCAAGAAAGUCAUCUAAACAUAUUUUUCACAAUGAAAUCAUCUUGAAAUCUUUGCUCCUUCAACAAACUAUUCUUUUACAGAAGUAAAACAUCUUCAAAUUAACUUCAAUCUAUAUCAAUCCAAUUUCAAAGUUAUAAUCUCGAUCUGAACUUCCAUCAUCUUAUUGUUUUUAAUCUGUGAAAAAAAAAUGCUUACCAUUGAUUACUUUCAAUGAGUAAAAUCAAAUGAUUAACUGAUUUCUACUCAUGCAUACAUAAAAAGCAUUCAGUAAAUCCCACUAAAAGAAACUCUAGUAACUUGCAUUCAUUAUAUUGCAUGAUUUUCUAAUUUGGUAAGAAACAAUGUUAAGCUACACUCCUAAGCUGCAACACAAUUAAAAGAUUGUCCUCUCUAACCCCGUAAGUAUGGUUUUAAUCAUGCCUAAUAGUCAUGUUAAAACUUAUAUCAUGCUGACUUUUAUUCCAAAAUUAAAUCAAUUUUUGGUUUUGUAGAGGAAACAAAAACUGUUUCGUCUGAAGCUUGCAAAAUCAUAUACCUUAAACAAUUGGUAAAGGUAAAAUUCUAAGAUGUCAAAAGAACUAACCUAUGGGUGCUUUUCUAAUUUCAAUAUCGACAAAUUACAAUGCAUUGAAAGCAACUACUACACAGAAAGUCUUAGUUAACCAUUUUCAAGUGCAGGUUCAAUCCAUCGAGUAGAUGAUACACAGGCAUCAAAUCUGGGCAAGGAUCAUACCCUGCGAAGAACCUAUGCAUGGAGCCACCUAAGUCAACACAACUCUCUCCAGCCAUCUUCUUCAUUCCUCCAUCUCUCAUCACCCUCCUCACAUUUGCUGCUUUCUCCCACAUACCCCCUUCAGCGUACAUGUUAGCAACAAUAACCAAAUUCCCCCCCCUCCUUGGCUCCAUCCAAAGUAACCUUUUCCUCACUCUUUCUCCAAUCCCUGCAUGGUCAUGAACAUCAUGUACAAUGCAUGCACUUAGCAAUGUCCUCCACACAACCGGGUCAGGCUCAAUAGGCAUCCUCUGUAUAAACCCAUAAGCUUCUUCAAGACGGCCAGCGCGGCUCAAUACAUCAACCAUGACUCCAUAAUGCAUCAUCAUGGGCUUGAUCCCAUGCACACAUUUCAUGUCAUGAAAAUAUUGGUAACCCUCAUCUACCAUUCCAGCAUGGCUACAAGCACAAAGAACCCCAAGAUAGGUCACAUAAUUUGGGCAUAUAUCAUGAUUGUUAUUGCUACUCAUCAUUGCAAACAGCGCAAGGGCUUUCUCAGCAAACCCGUGCUGAGCCAACCCCAAUAUCAUUGCACUCCAUGUCCACACAUUCCUCCUUUCCAUUCUCUCAAAAACAGACCUUGCAUAGCCCAAGGCCCCAGACUUCCCAUACAUUUCAACAAGAGCAGUACCCAAUUGAACACUCAGAACCAUCCCUCUCAAAACCAAUUGAGAAUGAGCCCAUCUUCCCAAACUCAAGUACCCCAACUCAGCACAAGCAGAGAGUAACAACACCAUGGAAGUCUCAUCAGGCUCAAACCCACCAUCCCACAUCCUGAAAAAAUACACAAUCCCCUCACCCAACCAAAGACUCUCAACACAGGCAGUGAUAACGGAGUUCCAAGAAACAACUGUUCUCUCAGGCAUUUCAUCAAACACCUUGAUUGCAUCCACAAUCUUCUUACAACGCCCGUAAAAGUUAAUCAAAUUGUUACCAACGUACACGUCAGAGUCCAAACCACACUUAAAAGCGUCCGCAUGAACCUGUCUCCCUUCACCAAGUGCAGAAGCCACAGCACAAGACUUAAUGAGGAAAGGGAAGGUGAGUUUGUUAGGCAUGGCGCCACGUUCUCGCAUUUUCCGAAAUACCAAGACGGCUUCAAGGGGGUAAUCGCUCACGGCGUAGCCUCGGAUGAGAAUGUUCCACGAAAUGGGUGAUGAGGUGGCAGCGUCAUGCACGAGUGCGCACGCGUGGCGGAGGUUCUUGGAGGGAGAGAGGGAGCAAAAGUAGACGAGUUCUGAGAGAGUGUGUGUGUCUUGGUAGAGACCAGAGAGGUGGAUUUGUGCCUGGAUUUGACGGAGUUGGUCCAUAGAACCACACGAGUUUAGGAGAAAGAGACAUUCGUGCUUCUUCGAGAAGAACUGUGUGUUCAAUGUCGGAAGACGAACCAUGCAUGCAUUCGGCUUUCAACUGUUAGCAUCUGCCUUCUCCUUUGUUAGUGUUCACAUAAAACUUUUAACUACUACACUAACAAAGUUAGUAACAUAUAAGAAAACUUAAGCAAAUUAAUUCAUGCAUAAAUGUGAAGAAGCUAAUUUUCAUUUUCUCUUAUUUUUUUUAAAAAAACAAGCAGGUUAAUAGAACUUGAACAGACAGAUUGGAUACAUGAAAGGUACACUAAGUUCAUUGGAAAAGGGAGAAUAGGAAGCUUUCUUUUCUUGUGGAUAGUUGUAUAUAUUUUGACCUUUCAUUUAGUGACCAUUUCCUGUUUUGACCAUUCUUCUUUGAGAAUCUAAGUAAGAAUGUAGUACCUUAAGGGAAGAAUUUUCAUGGCUUUCUAAACAUUUAAUUUAAUCUAGAAUCUAAAACUCUCGAGUAAGAAAUAUAUUUAUUGCAGAAAUACUACAUAAGAAAGUAAGAAGAACUAAGUGCUAUUAGCUAUGUUACUCAAACUUGCCAUUUGUUCAUGAUUGUUGUGUAAGAAAUUAUGUAAAUUAAUUUCUAUAAAGUGACUCACAUUAUUUAGAGUUUGGGCUUUGAGCCCAAAUAUGAUUUAAUAAUAAUAAUAUAAUAAAGACCCAUUGGUUAAUGUGAAAAAUAUAUAUCUGAUGAUAUACCUAUUGGAAAACCUAAUCUGAUGGAGAUUGUGUACUAAAGGCUAUAGGGUUCUGUCUCUGCAAAUAAUAGUUGUCUCACUGUUAACCAUCACGAAAAGUGUGUGUGUGACAAUCAAGGUAAGUGCUUAUUCCUUUUUGAUUAUAUGAUUGUGUGAGAAUCAUGAUAUGAUAAAAUCUAUAUGUGAACACAUUAUUGUAUGUGUUCAAUUUACGUUUAUUCAUGUUUUGACUUACGUGUUGUUCAUUAGAAUUUGAUUCUUUACUAGUAUUAACAUGUUCUCUUUGUAUUGAAACUCCUAAAAUGACUCCAUACAUAUUGCUUGACUUGUUCUAUAGGACAGAGACUAGUGAAAAGCAUGGGACGCCUUUUUGCCAAAGUGGUGAUAGAACCAUGCUUGCUACAUGGAGACCUCUGGAGUGGAAACAUUAGCUCUAACAGAAAUGGAGAGCCUGUCAUAUUGGACCUUGCAUGUUAUUGUAAGUCAAGCAAUUACAGAAAGGUGUUGUAUUCUAUGACAGCUAAAGUUUGGAACCAGAUUAACAGUUGAAAUUCGUUGUCAGGGUUAAUUUAACUCACAACAACAAAAGAGUUGUACCAGAGGAACACACAUAAGCACAAAGGCAAAAGUAAGAGGGUCUAGUGAAUUCAGAAAAUUGUAACUUUUGAUAUAUGCGGUUCACAAUAUAAUUGCCUGUCAAAAUAGUUGAAAUAAAUUAUAAGUUGCUGAAGAGUAGACUUCUAAAUGAGUUGUAAUGCCAUGUCUCUCGGUGAACUUUUUCAAAGCCAUUUUAUUACUGUGCGUGGCCCAAAAUUUUAGCCUAAUUUAAAUAUUUUAUCAAUCACAUUUUGGAAGACCUUUAUUAAGGAUGGGAAGUUGGAACAGCUGAAUUAAGUUGCAUCCCCAGAAUUCUUAGGUGCCAGCUAGGUCUUCUAAAUUUUGCCAUAGUGGGGCUAAUGCAAGACUAUAAUAAUCAUACCAGCUUUGGUAAAAAAAAAGGGUUGAGUUGUGGCUUCUGUUGUUUGAUUCUGCAAAUGGACACAGUGAAGCAGAAUUCGGUAUGUCUUGGUGUGCAGGCUUUUGAGGCUCAUUCUAUGAUUCUUAUUUUAAGGUAACACUGUUUACUGAUAUAUGGUAUAAAUGAUUCAUAAUUAUCUUACACCACAUUUUCUCUCAUUGUGGAUUUCUUUCUGUUUUUCUCAGUCCAACCAAAUUGCGUUUUGUCAAUUAACAUCUAUCAAAGUCAGUUAUAUGGUUCUUUUGUGAACUUUCCCCUCAGUAAAGUGAAUAUGUAUUUAGCUUUUCAAUCAAACUAGUUUCUAUCUCGAUAUAAUUGCCAUGUUUCAAAUAAACACGAUCUUGGUAUUGGGUUGGCAUGUGAAAUGUUGGUUUCAUAACAAUAUUUUUCUACUGUCAAAAAGCAACAUUUUUCUGAUAACAUUUUUAAAUGAUAUCUUCAGGUGAUGCCUAAACAACCAGGCUUUGAGGAGAGGAAAGACCUUUAUAUGCUGUAUCACUAUUUAAAUCAUUAUAAUCUCUUUGGUUCUGGAUAUCGAUCAUCUGCCAUGUCUAUAAUUGAUGAUUAUCUUGCAUUUUUAAGUGCUUCUUAGGAUUAAUUGGUGCCUAAAUAAGUGAUUUAAAUCAUUAUUAUCUUGCACUUUUAAUGUACAACCUCAAGGUUCUGUUUGAAUGAGGUUGAACAUUUGUCUGCAUUACAUUUCCUCCAACCACCUCAUUCAAUGAAAUGGAGAUAUUCAUGUAUUGUAUAUUCCAUGUCUUUCUUUUAUGUCCCUCAGUCCUUGAUUCUGUAGUAUCUUGUUAUUAAAUAAUCAAAGUUUUAUUGCCACACACACCUUCUACUCAAUCCAAAAAUGUUAUAUAUUAUCUAGUAUGAAAUAUAGUUUUGGAAAGGUUAUUUUGGAUGAAACAAAAUCGUAUUUUCGGAUGCACUCUUCUCUUGAAGAUAUUCAACAUAUUCUGAAAGGAUGAGAUUUUUUUUAUUUAAAUAAUGAACAAUAAUAUUUUAGUAAAUGCCACUAAAUAACAUCACAAUGUCAUGCUAUAAAGAAAAUGUAUAAAAGCAAAAUUAAUAGAACCUAUGGUUAGUCUAAAUGUUUACUAGGCCUUUGAAUUCUAGUAGUGUUUCAUCAUUUAACUUACAAAAUUUCUUGAAACAUUUUUCAUUCAUUUCAGAAAGGAUUAUUUUAUUAAAAAUAUAUUCCAUAAUUAAUGAGAGAUUGUCUUAUAAACUUCUAGAUGCAUAAAGUUGAACCCCAAUUCUAGAUUUGUCAUAAAGGCUAGGACCAUCUUCAUCGUUAACAUAUAUUUUUGUACGUAUUAAAAAAGUCUAAAUUGCUUAUAAAUUAAAUGUUUGGAUUGUAAAAUUGAAAAAUAUGUUUUAAAUAAUACACUUUAAAAUAUAUUUUUGAAUUCAGAAAUAAAUUCUAGAUUACACGAUUACGAAGUCUAGAGUAAUCUUUGAAUUGUAUAGUAUAAAAUAAAAUAUAUUUUAUAAUUCUGAAUUACAGAUAAAUUUUUUAAUUAUAGAGAACCUCUACAAUUAUGAAGGAGCAUAAAGAAAGUAUGGUACUUAAAUUUAAUUCUUCAAAGUUUCAUAAGGAUUAUCUACCUUGUGAAAUAGAUUUAAAAUUCUUAGUUAAAAUCUGUUAUACUAAUUUAUUAAAUUGUAAAAUUAUAAGUGUUAGAUGAAAUAAACAUAAAAAUAAUAUCUACAAGUAAUAAAAGACAGAAUGGAAUAAUAAAAUCCUAUCAAGGUAAAACAAAAGUAAAAUGUAUAUUUAAUAAACACUUAGAAAAAAGAAAUACAGGUAUGAAACCCAAGUCUUCAUUUGAAAUAGCAUUUCAGAAAAUGCUUCAAGAAAAUAAAAACAAGUUUAUCAUUAAAGAUAAUUAAUAUGGUCGAUCAAACAUUUCAGAUAGUGAAGCCUACAAAUUCUCAAACAUACUAAAAUGAAAAUGAGUAUGACUUCUGAUAAGACAAUUCUAAAUCCAAAAGUACAAAAAAGACCUAGAAAUCAUCAUAUAAACUCUAUUUUCUUCAAGUCCUCCACAGCUUCAAGCAACAGCAUUACUCAGCAAUUCUCUACACAAGUCAACAAAAAGAAAAGGAUAAGAAAGGAGAAUAGCCUAAAUGAUAAUAGGAACCAAAGAAAAUGUAAUAUCAUGAAGAUACAUGCAUAUUCGUACCAGGGAUUAUACAUUGAUAAGCAGAUGUUUAAAUCCUCAUCACUAGACUUCCGAGUUCCAUUUGGAGGAUAAAAAAUUUCAUCUGUUUUGGCCCCAGAAAUGCCAUGUUCUUUUCCAUCUGAUGGUAGAAGAGGAAUGGGAAGUGGUGGUGGAAAUUGUUGGCACAUCUUGAUGCAUCGAAUUAAAUUCAUUGAGAUCACUUUGUGUGGUCAAAUUUCAAGAACCAGAUCAAGGUCCAAAUACAUGGUGUGGCACUAGCAUUAAAUAAUAUCACCUAAAUGAGAAACCAAAUAUCAAACACUUAUGUAUGGACUCAUCACUUCUAAUCUUCACCCUAAUUGUUGGCAGAGGUCUGACCAUAGGUGAAACCUCAAAACUCUUACCACUUCCUCUAUAGGCGGGGUGCUAAAUUAGAAAUAUGUCAUGGUGGAGAUGAACCCAACCUCUUCCACUGAGAAUUUCCAUUUCUGUAUGGUAAGACCAUGAAAUUAGAGAGUAGCAUUAUCUGAUGAAACUGAAGCACUCAUACUAAGUUUUAGUUAUUUUAAAACCUUUUUCAACCGUGGCCAAAUAGCUAGAAAAUAGGUUGAAUGAUUUGUUGACAGGGUGCAAAUUCUCUUUGACCUGCUGGCUUAGAUAUCUACAGUUUGAUCCAAAUUGCUAAGCUCUGUUAUCAUCAUUCAUAGAUACCAAUAAAAGUUAGUGGUGGGAUUAAACUUUACCACACUUCAAUCCCACUAUUUAAUUGGCCCUCGCCCAAUAUUAUGGCUUAAGUUUUUCAAUGAACAAUCUUCUGAUGAUUAAAAGUUCUCAGUCAACAACAACAUGAAAUAUAAAGCUCAAUAUCUCAUAUUUUAUGACAGAGCUACCAUUACUUGUAGAAAUACUAAACUCUACAAUUUUGUAAAAGCAAUGCCAAUGCCAGUAACUCAGUUGACCGUGACAUGAUUGGUUGGGAAAUUAAAAAACAACCUAGCAACCAUGUAAAGUUUCAAUAUCAAAACUAAUUUUUUUGGUACAGAUCGUAUCAGAACUAACACUAAAAGCAAUAAUUUGACAACUUUAUUUUAUCAUCACUGUACGCUUUUACACUCUUCUAAAUGUAAUUCCCUGGUUCUGGCUAUAUAAAAGACAUACAGUAUAAUCUGGAUAUUAGUUUUAGAUGGACAAGAUCAAGAACUUGAAGACUAAGAAUAACUGUGAUAUCAAAAAGAGAAAAUUAUAUCCAAACUUGACUAAAAAAAAUAAAGACAGAAACCGGUAAAAUAAUUGGAUCUUGCCUUUGAAAGGCAUCUAGAACAGGGUAAAGAAACCUGGUAUUUGAUUACAUGCAUUAACUAGCCUAAGAUCUAGUAUAACAUAAUUAUAAAAAAAAAUACUGUUACUUGUUAACGUUUCUCCUAAACUCCUAAUGGUACUAGGAGAUCCAAAGCACAACAAGAGUUAGAUAAAAGGAAACACUUCACACGUUUUGAAAGGUUAGAGCUUGAGACUUUCCUUGUUUUUCAUAUCCUUUUGAGACCCACUGCCUUCACUGUCAAAGUUCUUGGAUAGUUCUUCUCUUUGUUUUCACUGACUUGGGUUGGAAUCUUGUCAUGUUUAUCUGGUUACUUCUUGAUGCUGAUUUUUCAUUUUCUUGGGAAGCAUAGUUGAACUCUUUCUUGUUUCCAAAAAUCCUUCAUGUCCUGCAAAUUUAAAGGACCAAAAAAUACUUUUAG
rnacentral:lncRNA from 1 species